GACGUAGGGGGCAAGCGUUGUUCGGAAUCAUUGGGCGUAAAGCGCACGUAGGCGGUUCGUUAUGUCGGAUGUGAAAGCCCUUGGCUUAACCGAGGAAGUGCAUCCGAAACUGGCGAGCUAGAGUACGAAAGAGGAUCGCGGAAUUCCCGGUGUAGAGGUGAAAUUCGUAGAUAUCGGGAGGAACACCGGUGGCGAAGGCGGCGAUCUGGGUCGAUACUGACGCUGAGGUGCGAAAGCGUGGGGAGCAAACAGG
rnacentral:rRNA from 1 species